GUGGGUUGGACUCUAAGCUUUCGAAGGGCCUGCCCACCUACCUCCUGGAACUCCUUCUGGCGGCAUCCCACCAUCCUUUCUCCGCUGCUCACCCUGGUUUUCUCUUUUCAAGCUUCCACCCUGCCCCCUGCUCCCACGAUCUGUGCUCAGCCUCUCUGGGGCUCCCAGGGUCCAACGGACACAGCCCCCAGCAGGAGCCGAGCAUCUCCCUGGCUGGUAAGAGCCCUACUUAUUGGCAGGGCACCUCCCAGCACCAAGAAAGCCACCCUGCCUUCCUACUCAGGGCCAGCAGUGCCUAAAGAAACCCCUGAGCUGACUUCAGAGGUUGGCCUGAGCUGGGGCUUAAAAAUACAAGUGCCCAUGAACCCCCCAGUGCCAACUGCCCACUCAGCCUGCAGGCGGUGCUGCCCACCACACAGAUGCCGUUGUGGCCACCGUGGGUGGUACCAAGGGAACACCAGGGGGUGGGGAGUCCAGAGAGGCCUGGGGUGGCUGGUGAGGGGGGCGGACAUUCCUUGGAUUCUAGACUGCAGAGCAGGGCUGUUUACGCCAUCUGGCUAUAGCUGGUUCUCCGGACUCCGCAGAGAACUAGGCCAGUUCUGUGCAGACUCACAGAGUCAGGGGCUCUGGAGGUGGACAAGCCUGGAAUCAGAUCCUGGUUUGGUCCCUGAAUUGGCCGUGUGAGUCGGCGCAGAUCACUGGCCCUCUGAGCCUCAGCCACUACAUGUAAAAUAAGGAUAAUAGAAGUACACACCUCCGAGGGCUCUUUAUCACAGAGCCUGACCCAGCAACGGUAGCUGUCUUCCUUGCCACUAUUAUCAUGUGGGGGGCUGCUGGGACUCGAUCAGGGGGCACAGGAGAGAGCCAGGGAUGCGAUGUCCUGGCGUCACCCUGCUGCCCACCUCCGAAACCGCCAAGGACCAGGCACAUCGGGCACCAGUGCAACUGGAAGUGGAGCCCAUUUUCUUGUUGGACAAACAGGCAGAUGGAGGCCCAGAGAGAGCAUGUGCCUGGCUCACGCGAGAGUCAGAACCUAGAAAUCGGAAGCUCGCUCUCUCGGGUGUGAGAGACAGCACCCCUAGAGCUGAGAGGACCC
rnacentral:lncRNA from 1 species